CGUCUAUAUACGUAUAGCAUAUCAAUAAGCGGAGGAAAAGUAAACUAACUAAGGAUUCCCUCAGUAACGGCGAGUGAAGCGGGAAGAGCUCAAAUUUGAAAUCUUCAAGGUUCUACCUUGACGAAUUGUAGUUUAAAGAAGUGUUUUCUGUUGGAGUUUUGGUAAAAGUUCUUUGGAAUAGGACAUCAUAGAGGGUGAGAAUCCCGUAUUUGACCAUUAUUUCCAACUUUGUGAUACACUUUCAAAGAGUCGGAUUGUUUGGGAAUGCAGUCCAAAAUGGGUGGUAAAUUUCAUCUAAAGCUAAAUACUGGCGAGAGACCGAUAGCGAACAAGUACCGUGAGGGAAAGAUGAAAAGAACUUUGAAAAGAGAGUUAAACAGUACGUGAAAUUGUCGAAAGGGAAGCGUUUGACACCAGUGUUGUUUUCUCGAAAAUCAAUUAAAAAUGCUGGAUUUUGUGUUGUAUUGACUUUAUCAGCUUUCUGCACUCUUUUCUUGUCUUUUUUAAUGCACUUUUCGUUUAACAAGUCAACAUCAAUUUCUUUUGUUGUAAAAGAGUCAUUGGAAGGUGGCUUUCUUUUCGGAGAAAGUGUUUAUAGCCUUUGACUUCUGCAGUCGGAGAGAUUGAGGUCUGCAGCGUAGAUCCUUCGGGGUUAGAUAGCAUUUGUGCUAAGCUAUAGCCUUUCAUAGACAACUUGUUGACUAUGAUCAGUCAUGUAGCUUACUCGCUUAUGUUAUUUUACCUACGCUUAGGAUGUUGACGAUCAGCUGAGCGCG
rnacentral:rRNA from 1 species